rnacentral:rRNA from 1 species
GGGUUGUGAGGUUAAGCGACUAAGCGUACACGGUGGAUGCCCUGGCAGUCAGAGGCGAUGAAGGACGUGCUAAUCUGCGAAAAGCGUCGGUAAGGUGAUAUGAACCGUUAUAACCGGCGAUGUCCGAAUGGGGAAACCCAGUGCAAUUCGUUGCACUAUCGUUAACUGAAUACAUAGGUUAACGAGGCGAACCGGGGGAACUGAAACAUCUAAGUACCCCGAGGAAAAGAAAUCAACCGAGAUUCCCCAGUAGCGGCGAGCGAACGGGGAGCAGCCCAGAGUCUGAAUCAGCUUGUGUGUUAGUGGAACGGUCUGGAAAGUCCGACGGUACAGGGUGAUAGUCCCGUACACCAAAAUGCACAGGUUGUGAACUCGAAGAGUAGGGCGGGACACGUGGUAUCCUGUCUGAAUAUGGGGGACCAUCCUCCAAGGCUAAAUACUCCUGACUGACCGAUAGUGAACCAGUACCGUGAGGGAAAGGCGAAAAGAACCCCGGCGAGGGGAGUGAAAAAGAACCUGAAACCGUGUACGUACAAGCAGUGGGAGCACCUUCGGGUGUGACUGCGUACCUUUUGUAUAAUGGGUCAGCGACUUAUAUUCUGUAGCAAGGUUAACCGUAUAGGGGAGCCGCAGGGAAACCGAGUCUUAACUGGGCGUUAAGUUGCAGGGUAUAGACCCGAAACCCGGUGAUCUAGCCAUGGGCAGGUUGAAGGUUGGGUAACACUAACUGGAGGACCGAACCGACUAAUGUUGAAAAAUUAGCGGAUGACUUGUGGCUGGGGGUGAAAGGCCAAUCAAACCGGGAGAUAGCUGGUUCUCCCCGAAAGCUAUUUAGGUAGCGCCUCGUGAACUCAUCUUCGGGGUAGAGCACUGUUUCGGCUAGGGGGUCAUCCCGACUUACCAACCCGAUGCAAACUACGAAUACCGAAGAAUGUUAUCACGGGAGACACACGGCGGGUGCUAACGUCCGUCGUGAAGAGGGAAACAACCCAGACCGCCAGCUAAGGUCCCAAAGUCAUGGUUAAGUGGGAAACGAUGUGGGAAGGCACAGACAGCCAGGAUGUUGGCUUAGAAGCAGCCAUCAUUUAAAGAAAGCGUAAUAGCUCACUGGUCGAGUCGGCCUGCGCGGAAGAUGUAACGGGGCUAAACCAUGCACCGAAGCUGCGGCAGCGACACUAUGUGUUGUUGGGUAGGGGAGCGUUCUGUAAGCCUGCGAAGGUGUGCUGUGAGGCAUGCUGGAGGUAUCAGAAGUGCGAAUGCUGACAUAAGUAACGAUAAAGCGGGUGAAAAGCCCGCUCGCCGGAAGACCAAGGGUUCCUGUCCAACGUUAAUCGGGGCAGGGUGAGUCGACCCCUAAGGCGAGGCCGAAAGGCGUAGUCGAUGGGAAACAGGUUAAUAUUCCUGUACUUGGUGUUACUGCGAAGGGGGACGGAGAAGGCUAUGUUAGCCGGGCGACGGUUGUCCCGGUUUAAGCAUGUAGGCUGGUUAUCCAGGCAAAUCCGGAUAAUCAAGGCUGAGGUGUGAUGACGAGGCACUACGGUGCUGAAGUAACAAAUGCCCUGCUUCCAGGAAAAGCCUCUAAGCAUCAGGUAACAUCAAAUCGUACCCCAAACCGACACAGGUGGUCAGGUAGAGAAUACCAAGGCGCUUGAGAGAACUCGGGUGAAGGAACUAGGCAAAAUGGUGCCGUAACUUCGGGAGAAGGCACGCUGGUGUGUAGGUGAAGUCCCUGCGGAUGGAGCUGAGACCAGUCGAAGAUACCAGCUGGCUGCAACUGUUUAUUAAAAACACAGCACUGUGCAAACACGAAAGUGGACGUAUACGGUGUGACGCCUGCCCGGUGCCGGAAGGUUAAUUGAUGGGGUUAUCCGUAAGGAGAAGCUCUUGAUCGAAGCCCCGGUAAACGGCGGCCGUAACUAUAACGGUCCUAAGGUAGCGAAAUUCCUUGUCGGGUAAGUUCCGACCUGCACGAAUGGCGUAAUGAUGGCCAGGCUGUCUCCACCCGAGACUCAGUGAAAUUGAACUCGCUGUGAAGAUGCAGUGUACCCGCGGCAAGACGGAAAGACCCCGUGAACCUUUACUAUAGCUUGACACUGAACAUUGAGCCUUGAUGUGUAGGAUAGGUGGGAGGCUUUGAAGCGUGGACGCCAGUCUGCGUGGAGCCAACCUUGAAAUACCACCCUUUAAUGUUUGAUGUUCUAACGUUGGCCCCUGACCGGGGUUGCGGACAGUGUCUGGUGGGUAGUUUGACUGGGGCGGUCUCCUCCCAAAGCGUAACGGAGGAGCACGAAGGUUAGCUAAUCCUGGUCGGACAUCAGGAGGUUAGUGCAAUGGCAUAAGCUAGCUUGACUGCGAGCGUGACGGCGCGAGCAGGUGCGAAAGCAGGUCAUAGUGAUCCGGUGGUUCUGAAUGGAAGGGCCAUCGCUCAACGGAUAAAAGGUACUCCGGGGAUAACAGGCUGAUACCGCCCAAGAGUUCAUAUCGACGGCGGUGUUUGGCACCUCGAUGUCGGCUCAUCACAUCCUGGGGCUGAAGUAGGUCCCAAGGGUAUGGCUGUUCGCCAUUUAAAGUGGUACGCGAGCUGGGUUUAGAACGUCGUGAGACAGUUCGGUCCCUAUCUGCCGUGGGCGCUGGAGAAUUGAGGGGGCUGCUCCUAGUACGAGAGGACCGGAGUGGACGCAUCACUGGUGUUCGGGUUGUCAUGCCAAUGGCACUGCCCGGUAGCUAAAUGCGGAAGAGAUAAGUGCUGAAAGCAUCUAAGCACGAAACUUGCCCCGAGAUGAGUUCUCCCUGAGACUAUAAGUCUCCUGAAGGAACGUUAAAGACGAUGACGUUGAUAGGCCGGGUGUGUAAGCGCAGCGAUGCGUUGAGCUAACCGGUACUAAUGAACCGUGAGGCUUAACCUUACAACGCCGAAG